ANCUGUGCACAGUGGCAGUAUCGUAGCCAAUGAGAUUUAUCCGAGGCAUAAUUAUUGCUGAUUGAAACUUUAGAGUGCUAUAACAGC
rnacentral:snRNA from 1 species